AAGUUAGGUUUUUAGCUUUUUACUACAAUGAAAUUGAAAAUGAAGUCUUUAAAAAUCUAUUGAAGUAAAAUUUAGAAUUAUUAUAAUUUUGAAAGAAGUUGAAUCAUGAUGAAGUAUACAUAAAGAGCGACAAAGGGAAGUAACGGCCUAACGGGGGUACUCUUUUUCCAUUGGAUGGAUUGGAAAGCCUGUUAUACGCUUGGUAGCAAAGGCACGCCCCAAGCCCAAGGUGAAAAGGCACAAUAUAUUCAAAUUCAAUUAUGUUUUGUUCUAGUUUUUUGUAUCAUCUAUAAUAAUAUCAUAUAUCAUAAUGGCUAAAGUAAUGCUGAUGGCAAACUGCUUAGAAAUGCACAGAUUACGCAAUUCACUAAGCGUUUUGUAAUAUUAUAUUUUAGUUUUUACUUUCUAGUGCAAGAAUCUUCCCUGGUUAAAAUAAGAAAUGAAUUAAGCUCUUAUAACUAAACUGUUAUUUAUUAACUAUAACAAUAAAGUUACACUCAUCCCUUGAAAUCGUCAAAUUCUUUAUUGAUAUUGAAUUCGAACGACAAACCUUUUAAGGAACACUGUACGUCAAAAGCGAAUAUAAGCAUGAUAAUUGAGAAAUUUAA